rnacentral:rRNA from 1 species
ACUCCUACGGGAGGCAGCAGUGGGGAAUAUUGCACAAUGGGCGCAAGCCUGAUGCAGCAACGCCGCGUGCGGGAUGACGGCCUUCGGGUUGUAAACCGCUUUCAGCAGGGACGAAGCUUUUUGUGACGGUACCUGCAGAAGAAGCACCGGCUAACUACGUGCCAGCAGCCGCGGUGAUACGUAGGGUGCGAGCGUUGUCCGGAUUUAUUGGGCGUAAAGGGCUCGUAGGCGGUUGAUCGCGUCGGAAGUGGAAACUUGAUGCUUAACGUUGAGCGUGCUUUCGAUACGGGUUGACUUGAGGAAGGUAGGGGAGAAUGGAAUUCCUGGUGGAGCGGUGGAAUGCGCAGAUAUCAGGAGGAACACCAGUGGCGAAGGCGGUUCUCUGGACCUUUCCUGACGCUGAGGAGCGAAAGCGUGGGGAGCGAACAGGCUUAGAUACCCUGGUAGGAUAGCGU